rnacentral:rRNA from 1 species
AUAUAAGAUUUAGCCUGCCCACUGAUAAAUUGAAUGGCCGCGGUAUUUUGACCGUGCAAAGGUAGCAUAAUAAUUAGUUUUUUAAUUGAAAGCUGGAAUGAAUGGCUGGACGAGAAAAUUACUGUCUCUUAUUAAUUUAUAAUAAAAUUUUAUUUUUAAGUUAAAAAGCUUAAAUGUUGUUAAAAGACGAGAAGACCCUAUAGAGUUUUAUAUAUUUAUUUGAAUUUGAUUUAAAGUAUUUAAGUUUUGUUUUAUUUAAGUUUAUUUUAUUGGGGUGAUAGAAAGAUUUAAUUAACUCUUUUAUUUUGUUUAUACUUAUAUGUAAAUAUUUGAUCCAAAUUUUUUGAUUUAAAGAAUAAAUUACCUUAGGGAUAACAGCGUAAUCUUUUUAGAGAGUUCUUAUCGAAAUAAGGGAUUGCGACCUCGAUGUUGGAUUAAAGUUAAUUUUAGGUGUAGAAGCUUAAAAAUUAAGUCUGUUCGACUUUUGAAACUUUACAUGAUCUGAGUUUAAACCGGUGUGAGCCAGGUUGGUUUCUAUCUUUAUUAAGAUAAAAUGUUUUAGUACGAAAGGACCAA